rnacentral:lncRNA from 1 species
UUUCCAUCCUGUUUUUCCUAUUUCAUGCUUCCCGUAUCUCAUUAUAUGUGUUUGAUGAAUUUGAAGUGUUUCGGAAUGGUUUUGAUAAGAAAUGAGAUACUUAGUCUCUUUAAGGAAAGCUUAAGAUGAAAAAGUCAACCGGGCAUUGACUUGUGAGUUAGAGGGUUCAGAAUGGAUUUUCGGUGAUUCGACUAGUUUCAGAUGGUGAUUUGAGACUUGGGAGAGAAAACGGAAUUGAAUUGGAGGUCCGGUGUAGAAUUAGGCUUGAAUUGGCUAAGUUCGAAUUUUGGCAAAUUCCGGUU